UCACACUUAGCCCAAGACUGGUUGCCCACUGAAGCUAAGCAGGGUUGAGCCUGGUCAGUACCUGGAUGGAAGACCUGCUGGGAAAACUAGGU
ensembl:rRNA 5S_rRNA 5S ribosomal RNA